CGCCGCGAUGUUCAGAGCCGCGAACGCGCAACGCAACGUAACGCAACGCAACGCCGCAACGCCACGCAAAACACAGCAGCAGCAAAUCGCAACCACAGCAACAGCAACAGCAGCAGUAGCAGCAGCGAGCAACACCGAGCAGCAGCCAGCUCUGAGCUGUCGAGCCGUUGAGCUUGAGCCGCAGUGCCGUCGAGCCUGAGCCUUAAAGCCUGUCGAGCCAAUUGAGCCCAUCAAGCCGUGCUCUCGCAUCCGUUUUCUCUGCGUGUGUGUCUGUGUGUGUGUGUGUGUUUUAUUUUUUUUUUCGUAUGUUGUAGGUAGAGCUCACAGCAGCCAAUCGCCGCCAAACACCGUCGCCGUUGCCGUCGCCGCGAGUCGCUCUUUUCCGCCUAACGCCGUCGCCAUCGCCAUCACCAUCACCAUCGCCAUCGCGGUCGUCGUCGUCGUCGUCGUUGCCGUUGCUGCCCGUGGUCAUUAUCGUCGUGCAACAGAGCUUGCAACGCAUGAGAAGCAAAGCUCAUUUGCAUAGCGCCUAACGGUUCAUAAGAAAACUAACUAAAGGAGGAAACGAAAAAAACCGAACCAAAAAAAAAAAAAAGAAAAAUACAAAACAGAAUCUUCUUUCUUUUCGAUUUCCUCAAUUUAUGCACAUCUUUUUUUUCGGUGUAUCUACAAAGAUUUUAACUUUAUGCUGCACUCAAGUCUAUAUCGCGCGCAUCCUUAAACAAUAGUUUUUUUUUUUUGUCAUUUUUUUGAGAACGUCUGCUUGCUGUGCUCCAUGAGCAUUUUGAAAACCACAAACGCGGCCCAGAGACAACUGAAAAAACGCUGAUAUCAAAGGCAAAGUCAAAGCCAAAGCCAAAGCCAAAGCCAGACGGAGCACAGUUUUUUGGGGUAAAUGAGCUGGAAGAGCUGUCCGAGAUAAGGAUGAGGAUGAGGACAUUCACAGACAGGACAAUCGCGAUUAGCCAGCAAAUGUAAUUUGCAAAUAAAUAAUUGCAAAUGAUGAUUAACGUCGCAGCAGCAGCAACAGCAACAACAACAAAAAUCACAUGAUAAUUGAGGAAAAUAUAAUCGUAAUCACCGCGAGUCUCGAAUGCAAUUCGAUUACGUUUCCCAAAUCAAAUCGAAUUCUAACGCAACAAUUUCAAAUUAAAUAUCGUGAACGCGAACGCGAACGCGAACUCGCGCAUGUCUUUGUAUUGGUGUUCUCUGCGUGUGUGUGUGUGUGCGUGUGUGUCUGAGAGUGUGUAUGUGUGUGUGAAUGAGUGAGCACCAAUACAUAGUCAUAUGUAUUUUUUUCAACAUUUUUUUUACGUUGUUAUUUGUGACGUGCAGCCAAAUAAAUAAAUAAUUGGAAUAAUCUGAAUGCAAAUGCAAAUAAUGUCGAUGAAAAUGAUAAUGAAGAUGCUAAUCUCGCCCACAUCACAACAACAAGCAAAAGUCAAAGUGAAAACUAACUAAUAUCAAAGGAAAAGCACGACCCCUUCCCCUCAACAAAAAAGAAGAGAGCGCGCAUCAAGAUAUAUCGUGUAUAUAUAACAUGAUCUAUAGAUUCGCAAUCGAAACUCUCUGUAUACAAUUUCCGUUUUCGUUCUUUAUGCUAUUCGAAUCGAAACUUACUAUAUGCAUACAUAUAUAAUUGAUAACAGCUGGUAAUACUUACCUAACACAUACACACAAAUAGCAAUCUCUAUAUUAAAGUAAUAUAUUAUUAUAUAACAAGCUACGAACGUCAACUGCGUCUCAACAAUGCACUAAGCUGCUAUUUACACCGGAUAUCAUAUUCAUAUCGCCCCCUUAGCAAACAUUGGAAAAGGAAAAGGACUAUGCGUCGAGUUAUCAGCGUUGCAGCCACAAAAUAUUUAAUAAAUUUUUUGAUAUAUAAACGAUGCUACUACAUAUAUAAACAAUAAAACAGCCGGUCGCAAUUUAGCUAGAGACAUAUGAACCAAUUGAAUAAAAUUAAUUCAAUGAAUAAAACAAAAAAGCAAAAAAAACAAAAAAUAAAUGGAAUGGAUGAGUGAAUGAAUGAAAUGAAUACAACAUAUACAAAUAUCUAAAGCAAGGCAAUAAUAAUUCAUAAAUUCAAUAAUAAUAUUUAAUAAUUAUUUAAUAAUAAACAAUUAAUUAUAUGCAUAACAUUAAAAAUACAAAUUAGUUGUUAUUGCAAAAAA